CCCGGGGAAUAGCUCAGUGGUAGAGCAUUCGACUGCAGAUCGAGAGGUCCCCGGUUCAAACCCGGGUGUCCUUUUCUGGGA
rnacentral:tRNA from 1 species